CCUACGGGCGGCAGCAGUGAGGAAUAUUGGUCAAUGGACGAGAGUCUGAACCAGCCAAGUAGCGUGAAGGAUGACUGCCCUAUGGGUUGUAAACUUCUUUUAUAUGGGAAUAAAAUGUUCCAUGUGUGGGAUUUUGUAUGUAUCAUAUGAAUAAGGAUCGGCUAACUCCGUGCCAGCAGCCGCGGUAAUACGGAGGGUCCGAGCGUUAACCGGAUUUAUUGGGUUUAAAGGGACCGUAGGUGGAUUGUUAAGUCAGUUGUGAAAGUUUGGGGCUUAACCGUAAAAUUGAAGUUGAAACUGGUAGUCUAGAGUACAGUAGAGGUGGGUGGAAUUCGUGGUGUAGCGGUGAAAUGCUUAGAGAUCACGAGGAACUCCGAUUGCGAAGGCAGCUCACUGGAAUGCAACUGACACUGAGGCUCGAAAGUGUGGGGAUCAAACAGGAUUAGAUACCCGAGUAGUC
rnacentral:rRNA from 1 species